rnacentral:lncRNA from 1 species
CAGGGACAAAACAUCUUUGAGAUGAUGAGCAAUCCUGUCUGGGAAGAUAUCUCAGAACCGUCCCCACGGCUCAUGGCUGCUACUCUUGAAGACAGGCCACAGGAUUAAACAAGUAGGACAGUCAGUGGAAGCAGGAGCUGGGUCAGCCUUGGAGCCCCCCCGUUUACACCAGCCUGUCUGCCAGUGAAAAGGAGAAGACAGCAAAGAAUCAGAUUUGGGCAGGUGUGUCCCGGAGCCCUCUUUCUGGAAGUACAAAGAGGCUGGGCUUCUGGCUUCACUGCUUCCUGGCUGUGCAAUCUUGGUAAUAUCCCCAUAACGCCCGUUAAGCCCCUG